UACGUAGGUGGCAAGCGUUGUCCGGAAUUAUUGGGCGUAAAGCGCGCGCAGGCGGUUCCUUAAGUCUGAUGUGAAAGCCCACGGCUCAACCGUGGAGGGUCAUUGGAAACUGGGGACUUGAGUGCAGAAGAGGAGAGCGGAAUUCCACGCGUAGCGGUGAAAUGCGUAGAGAUGUGGAGGAACACCAGUGGCGAAGGCGGCUCUCUGGUCUGUAACUGACGCUGAGGCGCGAAAGCGUGGGGAGCAAACAGG
rnacentral:rRNA from 1 species